rnacentral:rRNA from 1 species
GAUGAACGCUGGCGGCGUGCCUAAUACAUGCAAGUCGAGCGAACAGACGAGGAGCUUGCUCCUCUGGCGUUAGCGGCGGACGGGUGAGUAACACGUUGAUAACCUACCUAUAAGACUGGGAUAACUUCGGGAAACCGGAGCUAAUACCGGAUAAUAUAUUGAACCGCAUGGUUCAAUAGUGAAAGACGGUUUUGCUGUCACUUAUAGAUGGAUCCGCGCCGCAUUAGCUAGUUGGUAAGGUAACGGCUUACCAAGGCGACGAUGCGUAGCCGACCUGAGAGGGUGAUCGGCCACAGUGGAACUGAGACACGGUCCAGACUCCUACGGGAGGCAGCAGUAGGGAAUCUUCCGCAAUGGGCGAAAGCCUGACGGAGCAACGCCGCGUGAGUGAUGAAGGUCUUCGGAUCGUAAAACUCUGUUAUUAGGGAAGAACAAAUGUGUAAGUAACUAUGCACGUCUUGACGGUACCUAAUCAGAAAGCCACGGCUAACUACGUG